AGCCUUCCCUCUCCCAAGGGUUGACUCUUCCCGUAUUUAAAAGCAGAAGCCUUUUCCCAAUACCACCCUUGGCUUUAGCUCCAUGACUCGAAGUCCAACAUCAGCUGUCCUGUGCCAUGGUCCAGCUGCCUGCACUGUACACUACAGUGCCUGCAUGCACAUGUAAUGAUGCAACAGCAAGAGCUGCAAAAAUUCCAUGUGUGUAUACACAUGGCCUUUUUUUUUCAUUUGGUUAGGAAGCAGCUGCAGUUGCACGGAGGCUGUUCCUUAAAAGUGAAGAAUUUGAACACAAUUAAUAAUCCCUUGCCAGGGUGAUGCCCUUGGACAAACAAAAACUAAUCCAGACCGUGUUUCUGCCUUCUUGCAACUUUUAAUCUUCCAUGUAAGCUACUGGGAACGUUUCUAUGGUUACCUCCUAGAAUAUCAGUCUGCCAACAUCAGGUCAUUUCCAUCGUGGAACUUAAAUUCAAGCUGGUCUUUUAGCUGUGCUGAGCUUUAGUACUGAUUUUAGACUCCUGAAGAGCUGGAGGUGUACAACUUAGAGGCUCUGGAAAUCUCUGGAAUUGCUGUCAGGAAGCUGUGGCGUGAACUGAGGAUGGGGCUGAAGGAAGCAUCUGAAAGACCUUUGGCUGCUGGCAAAAGGGAGAAAAGCCAAAAAAUUAGCCUGCUGAGCACAAACAACGUCAACAGCUCCAGCAUCAUCAGGCACAGAAGGACAGACCCAGAAGAACCGCUCAGAGCUGCCAUGCCCCACACAUCACACACAUCCAUCUGUUCUCCUUGUGCCCCAGAGCAAAUCACUCAGCAUGGCAGGUAA
rnacentral:lncRNA from 1 species